AGGCGUGGCCCGUUAUAUACUCUGCUGUACAAACAAUAUAAUGUAUAGUAGGGUGGGGGGAGAUGGGAC
rnacentral:miRNA from 1 species